rnacentral:rRNA from 1 species
GAUGAACGCUGGCGGCGUGCCUAAUACAUGCAAGUCGAGCGAACGGACGAGAAGCUUGCUUCUCUGAUGUUAGCGGCGGACGGGUGAGUAACACGUGGAUAACCUACCUAUAAGACUGGGAUAACUUCGGGAAACCGGAGCUAAUACCGGAUAAUAUUUUGAACCGCAUGGUUCAACAGUGAAAGACGGUCUUGCUGUCACUUAUAGAUGGAUCCGCGCCGCAUUAGCUAGUUGGUAAGGUAACGGCUUACCAAGGCAACGAUGCAUAGCCGACCUGAGAGGGUGAUCGGCCACACUGGAACUGAGACACGGUCCAGACUCCUACGGGAGGCAGCAGUAGGGAAUCUUCCGCAAUGGGCGAAAGCCUGACGGAGCAACGCCGCGUGAGUGAUGAAGGUCUUCGGAUCGUAAAACUCUGUUAUUAGGGAAGAACAUAUGUGUAAGUAACUGUGCACAUCUUGACGGUACCUAAUCAGAAAGCCACGGCUAACUACGUG